rnacentral:rRNA from 1 species
GGUCAGGAUGAACGCUAGCGACAGGCUUAACACAUGCAAGUCGAGGGGCAUCACGGGAGUAGCAAUACAACUGGUGGCGACCGGCGCACGGGUGAGUAACGCGUAUGCAACCUACCUAUCAGAGGGGAAUAACCCGGCGAAAGUCGGACUAAUACCGCAUAAAACAGGGGCACCGCAUGGUGAUAUUUGUUAAAGAAAUUCGCUGAUAGAUGGGCAUGCGUUCCAUUAGGUAGUUGGUGAGGUAACGGCUCACCAAGCCGACGAUGGAUAGGGGAACUGAGAGGUUGGUCCCCCACACUGGUACUGAGACACGGACCAGACUCCUACGGGAGGCAGCAGUGAGGAAUAUUGGUCAAUGGGCGGGAGCCUGAACCAGCCAAGUCGCCGUGAAGGAAGAAGGAUCUAUGGUUCGUAAACUUCUUUUGCAGGGGAAUAAAGUGCAGGACGUGUCCUGUUUUGUAUGUACCCUGAGAAUAAGGAUCGGCUAACUCCGUGCCAGCCGCCGC